GACGAACGCUGGCGGCGUGCUUAACACGUGCAAGUCGAACGGAAAGGCCUGCUUUCCGUUGUGGAUUGCGGGUACUCUAGUGGCGAACGGGUGAGUAACACGUGAGUGAUCUGCCCCUAACUUGGUUAUAAGCCUGGGCUACUGGGUCUAAUUCUCUCUAGGACCGCAGGGUGGUGCCUGUGGUGGCACACGAUUUUCUUGUGGUUGGGGAUGAGCUGGUGGCCUAGAAGCUUGUGGGUGGGGUAAUGGACUACCAAGGCGGGAACGGCUAGCCGGCCUGAGGGGGUGGAGAGUGACAGUGGGACGGAGAUACGGCCCAGGCACCUACGCAAGGCAGCAGUGGGGAAUAGUGGACGAUGGGCGGAAGACUGAAGGAGCGACGCCGCGUGGGGCAUGACGGGCUCCGGGUGGUAAGCUCCGGUCGGCCGCGAAGAGGCCACCUGGUUGGAAAGAUAGUGACGGUAGUGGUAGAAGAAGCACCGGCUAACUACGUG
rnacentral:rRNA from 1 species